GACGAACGCUGGCGGCGUGCUUAACACAUGCAAGUCGAACGGAAAGGCCCUGCUUUUGUGGGGUGCUCGAGUGGCGAACGGGUGAGUAACACGUGAGUAACCUGCCCUUGACUUUGGGAUAACUUCAGGAAACUGGGGCUAAUACCGGAUAGGAGCUCCUGCUGCAUGGUGGGGGUUGGAAAGUUUCGGCGGUUGGGGAUGGACUCGCGGCUUAUCAGCUUGUUGGUGGGGUAGUGGCUUACCAAGGCUUUGACGGGUAGCCGGCCUGAGAGGGUGACCGGCCACAUUGGGACUGCGAUACGGCCCAGACUCCUACGGUAGGCAGCAGUGGGGAAUAUUGCACAAUGGGCGGAAGCCUGAUGCAGCAACGCCGCGUGCGGGGUGACGGCCUUCGGGUUGUAAACCGCUUUCGCCUGUGACGAAGCGUGAGUGACGGUAAUGGGUAAAGAAGCACCGGCUAACUACGUG
rnacentral:rRNA from 1 species